AGAACGAACGUUAGCGGCGCGCCUAACACAUGCAAGUCGAGCGAGAAAGGGAGCAAUCCCCGGUACAGCGGCGCACGGGUGAGUAACACGUAGGUAACCUACCCUCGAAUGGUGGAUAACCUUCCGAAAGGGGGGCUAAUACAGCAUGAGCCCACGACCUCGAGAGAGGAUGGGGGAAAAGCCGGCCUCUUCGUGAAAGCUGGUGUUCGAGGAUGGGCCUGCGGCCCAUCAGCUAGUUGGUGAGGUAAUGGCUCACCAAGGCUAAGACGGGUAGCUGGUCUGAGAGGAUGAUCAGCCACACUGGAACUGAGACACGGUCCAGACUCCUACGGGAGGCAGCAGUGGGAAUCUUGCGCAAUGGGACGAAAGCCUGACGCAGCGACGCCGCGUGAGUGAUGAAGGCCCGUCGGUCGUAAAGCUCUGGUGGAGGGAAGAAGUAAGGCAGUGGACUAACAUCCAUGUUGAGUACGACCGGUUACCCUUUAGACUAA
rnacentral:rRNA from 1 species